UCAAAGAUAUGCAUAACAAUUCAUAGUAUCACAAAAGAUUUUAUUUUAAUUUCUGAUAACCAUCCACCUUAUGUUCAAAAUAUAUCAUCUUCUAAGAUCUAAAAAAAUACUUAUAAUUGAACCACUAGUUUUCAAUAUUACUUGCACCAUAAUCUCUGGCAAUUAUAAACCCAAGUUCUCAUACCGUUUAAAUCAUAAUCCCAAAUGAUCAUCAACUUAGGCUCUGAUACUAAACAUGUAGCAUCUUGCUUUGAUAUCAAACAUGCAACACCCCACCCUU
rnacentral:lncRNA from 1 species